GCACCUGAAAGCUUCGUCAGAUUCACUCGCCGUCAAUUCUUUCAUUUGGUUCUGAACUUGUAAGUCGUCGUCGUCCUAGAUUAUCUAGCCACACCAGCUAUAUACAAUGGCCAAAUCCAAGAAUCACACAAAUCACAACCAGAACCGUAAACAUCAUCGUAAUGGCAUCAAGAAAUCCCAGGCUCACAAGUGCCCAUCCAACAAAGGAGUCGAUCGCAAGUUUUUGAGGAACAUGAAGAAAUCGCGCGCACGCAAUCUGAGCACUGCUAAGCAGUUGAUUGUCGCCAAGUACCGCAAGGACCAGGCCGAAAAGUAGUUUCUCAAAUUCGCGAGGAUUAAGUUUUGUGUAAAACAAAAUGUUCUAAAUACAAAUCUUGAUUCUA